rnacentral:rRNA from 1 species
GACGAACGCUGGCGGCGUGCUUAACACAUGCAAGUCGAACGAAGAGCGAUGGAAGCUUGCUUCUAUCAAUCUUAGUGGCGAACGGGUGAGUAACGCGUAAUCAACCUGCCCUUCAGAGGGGGACAACAGUUGGAAACGACUGCUAAUACCGCAUACGAUCUAACCUCGGCAUCGAGGAUAGAUGAAAGGUGGCCUCUACAUGUAAGCUAUCACUGAAGGAGGGGAUUGCGUCUGAUUAGCUAGUUGGAGGGGUAACGGCCCACCAAGGCGAUGAUCAGUAGCCGGUCUGAGAGGAUGAACGGCCACAUUGGGACUGAGACACGGCCCAGACUCCUACGGGAGGCAGCAGUGGGGAAUCUUCCGCAAUGGACGAAAGUCUGACGGAGCAAAGCCGCGUGAGUGAUGACGGCCUUCGGGUUGUAAAGCUCUGUUAAUCGGGACGAAAGGCCUUCUUGCGAAUAGUGAGAAGGAUUGACGGUACCGGAAUAGAAAGCCACGGCUAACUACGUG